GUGGUUGGCUCUAGCUUUGAAAUUUUGGGGCUUCUGAGUCCUUGGUUAAAGUAAGUUUUGCUCUUUGUAUAUUUCAUGCAAAGGUGUGGAAUAGUAAAUCCAGCUUGGCUGCUCCCUAGAUGAUUUGUGAUUCAGUUACAUAGCUAAGCAAGAUGACAGGAAGACACAAAACACACCUACGAUUUGAAAAGAUCUAAAAGGAAAGUCUCGGCAUCAAUCUUACCUAUAUGAAGACUCAAGAGGAUGAGUUGUGAAGAGCUUUCCAGAGGCAACAGAGCAGAUAUGCAAUAUUAAGAGCAGCUACUGCUAGAGGAAUGAAGGAUGGUGUUGUGACCAGGCUCCCCUCCCUCUAAAGAGUUAACAGGAAGUGAAUCCUUUUCUCGACUGACAGGCUGGUGAAAUCCAGGGCAGCCAAUCAGUACACCAGGUGGGUGGGACCUAGAGAGCGGUUGCUGGGAAUUAUGGGAACAAGAAGGGUGGUCUUUGUUGGAGAGAAGUGCGUGCAGAAAGGUUUAGUGAGGGGCAAUGGAGUUUUGCUCCCUCAUGGUUGAAGCCAGCCUGGAGGUUUCUCUCAUGGAAUAACUCUGUAGAUCCUUAAAAGAAAGGAUUGCAGGAACCUUGAUUCUCAUCAAGAAUUGAGUGAGUUCAAGGAAAAGUGAAUUCAGCAUAGAGAACAGUUUGUUUAGUCAGACUGUGUGUUAGGAACGUAUAUUUCUUUAUAUGUGUGUGCUUUUGCAUAUUCAUGAUACUGUUCUAUUAUUUAUCUGCAACAUAAUUGAAAUAAGAAACACUAGCCUAUACUCAACAUACUUAGGGCAUUGCAAAAGGUCUGUAAACAUUUAAGCAUGCAUAAAGACAACCUAUUUUUGUAACUUACUAAGUAUUUUUUACUGUUUCUAAAAGCUGAGACAGCCUCAGACAGAACCAGUCUGUAAUUGAAAAAGACUCUGUAACCAUUUAAGUGUUCUUAAAUGCACCCUAUUACUGAAGCUUGAGACAACCUAUUUUUGUAGCCUUUUGAAUAAAAGUUUUCUUCUGGGG